ACUCUUCCUGGGCUUAGCAGAGGUCAUGUUCUUGCUUGUGCUUUCUGCUAAGUGAGACAAGACCUUCAUGCCUUCCUCUCCAGCUUCUCAGUAGAGGCAUGCAGAACAUACCCAAUGUCACAAACAAACCUCGAGUGGGCAAGCAAGAAGCCAGGAAUCAGAUGCUGGCUUGAAUCCAGAGGCUGAUGUGGGCCCAAAACCUGCCUGAAAAAUGGAACAAAGGGAAGACAUUGGCCUAAGAGAACACAAGAGAUGCUGCUAAGGUGAUAAUAGACUGAAAACCUGCAGUACCUGGAAGUACCUGGAAGUUCUUUUCUUCAGAAGUCAAAUCUGCCAAAGCCUUGCUUGGUUUUAGUUGUCCCAGCUUCCAGUAUUUUGAAAAAAUGGAUUUCUGCUGCUGUCUCUAAGAUUUGUUUUUGUUUUUUGUUUGUUUGUUUUAUGUGUUUUGUUUUUUAAUGCUAUUUCUGUUAUAGCAGUCACACUGGACUAAGUCAUAAGAAUGAAGAAUCAAUAUUUCUUGAAAAUCCAUAUCUGAGUUGGUAGUAACUUACCCAGCUUCACAUCGAUGUGUCAGAACGUGCCCUACUUAUUCGCCUCCUGCUCUCUCUUUUUCCCUGUCCCUCGCUAAGUGUUUGCCAGCCUGGUUGGAGGAACAACAUGUUUUCAAUUUUCAGCAUGCAAGUAUUGUUGUGCAAUAAAUUGUUCUUGUCUGUUGGUUUUUA